ACAAAAGAACCCAAAUUGUGGAGGAAUCCCCUCAUGUUGUGUUUUCCGAAGAUAAUGCUCGCCUGGCGAGAAAGGAAUCCGGUUUUGAUCUUGCGGGUAUCUUGGAUAGCUUGAAAGAUAAAAUCCAAGAAGAACCUUCAAAGGAAAACAAAAAUGGAAUUGAGGAACAACCAACGGAAGAAGCGCCACAAGUAGAAAAAGGAAUAAAUACGGCUAACGAGUGGAGAACGAUCAAGGAUCAUCCUCUCGAACAGG
rnacentral:lncRNA from 1 species